GAGAGUGGGUAGUCCGCACGAGCGCACCUUACUUUUAGUUGCUACCAUUUAGUUGGGCACUCUAGAAGAACUGCCGGUGAUAAGCUGGAGGAAGGUGGGGAUGACGUCAAGUCCUCAUGGCCCUUAUGUGUUGGGCUACACACGUGCUACAAUGGUAUUUACAGUGGGAUGCAAAGAGGCAACUCCUAGCCAACCCCCAAAAAAUACCUCAGUUCGGAUUGUACUCUGCAACUCGAGUACAUGAAGCUGGAAUUACUAGUAAUCGCGAAUCAGCGUGCCGCGGUGAAUACGUUCCCGGGUCUUGUACACACCGCCCGUCACACCAUGGAAGUUGGUUACACCUUAAGGCAAAGUGUAAAAUCUUUGACUACGGUACGAUCAGCGACUGGGGUGAAGUCGUAACAAGGUAGCCGUUGGGGAACCUGCGGCUGGAUCACCUCCUUUCU
rnacentral:rRNA from 1 species